GGGACACGUGGUAUCCUGUCUGAAUAUGGGGGGACCAUCCUCCAAGGCUAAAUACUCCUGACUGACCGAUAGUGAACCAGUACCGUGAGGGAAAGGCGAAAAGAACCCCGGCGAGGGGAGUGAAAAAGAACCUGAAACCGUGUACGUACAAGCAGUGGGAGCCUCUUUAUGGGGUGACUGCGUACCUUUUGUAUAAUGGGUCAGCGACUUAUAUUCUGUAGCAAGGUUAACCGAAUAGGGGAGCCGAAGGGAAACCGAGUCUUAACUGGGCGUUAAGUUGCAGGGUAUAGACCCGAAACCCGGUGAUCUAGCCAUGGGCAGGUUGAAGGUUGGGUAACACUAACUGGAGGACCGAACCGACUAAUGUUGAAAAAUUAGCGGAUGACUUGUGGCUGGGGGUGAAAGGCCAAUCAAACCGGGAGAUAGCUGGUUCUCCCCGAAAGCUAUUUAGGUAGCGCCUCGUGAAUUCAUCUCCGGGGGUAGAGCACUGUUUCGGCAAGGGGGUCAUCCCGACUUACCAACCCGAUGCAAACUGCGAAUACCGGAGAAUGUUAUCACGGGAGACACACGGCGGGUGCUAACGUCCGUCGUGAAGAGGGAAACAACCCAGACCGCCAGCUAAGGUCCCAAAGUCAUGGUUAAGUGGGAAACGAUGUGGGAAGGCCCAGACAGCCAGGAUGUUGGCUUAGAAGCAGCCAUCAUUUAAAGAAAGCGUAAUAGCUCACUGGUCGAGUCGGCCUGCGCGGAAGAUGUAACGGGGCUAAACCAUGCACCGAAGCUGCGGCAGCGACGCUUAUGCGUUGUUGGGUAGGGGAGCGUUCUGUAAGCCUGUGAAGGUGUACUGUGAGGUAUGCUGGAGGUAUCAGAAGUGCGAAUGCUGACAUAAGUAACGAUAAAGCGGGUGAAAAGCCCGCUCGCCGGAAGACCAAGGGUUCCUGUCCAACGUUAAUCGGGGCAGGGUGAGUCGACCCCUAAGGCGAGGCCGAAAGGCGUAGUCGAUGGGAAACAGGUUAAUAUUCCUGUACUUGGUGUUACUGCGAAGGGGGGACGGAGAAGGCUAUGUUGGCCGGGCGACGGUUGUCCCGGUUUAAGCGUGUAGGCUGGUUUUCCAGGCAAAUCCGGAAAAUCAAGGCUGAGGCGUGAUGACGAGGCACUACGGUGCUGAAGCAACAAAUGCCCUGCUUCCAGGAAAAGCCUCUAAGCAUCAGGUAACAUCAAAUCGUACCCCAAACCGACACAGGUGGUCAGGUAGAGAAUACCAAGGCGCUUGAGAGAACUCGGGUGAAGGAACUAGGCAAAAUGGUGCCGUAACUUCGGGAGAAGGCACGCUGAUAUGUAGGUGAAGCGACUUGCUCGUGGAGCUGAAAUCAGUCGAAGAUACCAGCUGGCUGCAACUGUUUAUUAAAAACACAGCACUGUGCAAACACGAAAGUGGACGUAUACGGUGUGACGCCUGCCCGGUGCCGGAAGGUUAAUUGAUGGGGUUAGCGGUAACGCGAAGCUCUUGAUCGAAGCCCCGGUAAACGGCGGCCGUAACUAUAACGGUCCUAAGGUAGCGAAAUUCCUUGUCGGGUAAGUUCCGACCUGCACGAAUGGCGUAAUGAUGGCCAGGCUGUCUCCACCCGAGACUCAGUGAAAUUGAACUCGCUGUGAAGAUGCAGUGUACCCGCGGCAAGACGGAAAGACCCCGUGAACCUUUACUAUAGCUUGACACUGAACAUUGAGCCUUGAUGUGUAGGAUAGGUGGGAGGCUUUGAAGUGUGGA
rnacentral:rRNA from 1 species